GACGAGUGGCUGGACUCUUCAUCCGACGCUGUAGUUUGCUGGAGAGCUUCGCACCAGAUGUAAAAUAGUUUGGUGGAAGCUGAAUUAGUGAGGAUGACUCCUGCUCCUGUCAUCUCUAAGCUCCUCACACAUCUUUACCUGCACAUGAGGAAAAUCACUCCUGUAGAAUGCAGAUGUUCAGAGGGAGAUGAUGCCACAUCUGGUCCAGCUGAUGGAAGGUCUUGAAGUUCUGUGACUGGCCUCGACUGAAGAUGGUCGUCUCACUGGAUUUAAGGUUCAGAUGCUCAGUAACAAACUCCACCAAUGUGCCAACAAGGAAGCUUUAGGUUUAUUAAAUGUUGCUAUGAAGGUAUCACUGUUUUUCUUUGUGAAUGCAAUGUGCUCCAACUGAAACUUGAAUUAGAACUUAGAAGUAAAUCCUUCCAUCUGAAAGGAUUUAGUUGCAUUAAUAACCUCAUAACAUUCUAAUUUUUAUUCCAGUCUUGGCUGGAAAUAGAAUCUCUGUAUUGAUCCAGGUAAAAACUGAACUUCACAGCAUGUUGGAGCAAAACAACCAGAUGAAAACUGUGAUGGUGUUGGAUUGUCAGGCUGUAAUGUUGCAGCUCAAAGCAGCUUUUCUAGCUCAGUUCAUUCUGACAUUCAGCUAUGAAUCAACACAGCAGAUGGUGAUCCAUGCUGUGGAAGUCUCACAUCUCCUGAUUUAAUGGAGCUGCUUUGCACUUUUUACACUGUUUAUUCACCAACACUUUAUUUAAUAAAAGUCCCAUCUAGUUUUUAUGAGGAAUGUG
ensembl:lncRNA